rnacentral:rRNA from 1 species
AUUGAACGCUGGCGGCAUGCCUUACACAUGCAAGUCGAACGGUAACAGGUCUUCGGAUGCUGACGAGUGGCGAACGGGUGAGUAAUACAUCGGAACGUGCCCGAUCGUGGGGGAUAACGAGGCGAAAGCUUUGCUAAUACCGCAUACGAUCUACGGAUGAAACCGGGGGAUCUUCGGACCUCGCGCGGCCGGAGCGGCCCAUGGUAGAUUAGGUGGUUGGUGUGAUAAAAGCUUACAAGGCCGACGAUCUGUACCCGCUCAGAGAGGGUGCUCAUCCACACUGAGACUGAGACGCGGCCCAGACCCCUACGGGAGGCAGCAGUGGGGAAUUUUGGAAAAGGGGCGAAAGCCUGAUCCAGCCAUGGCGCGUGCAGGAUGAAGGCCUUCGGGUUGUAAACUUCUUUUGUACGGAACGAAAAGCCUCUUUCUAAUAAAGAGGGGUCAUGACGGUACCGUAAGAAUAAGCACCGGCUAACUACGU